GACGACGCUGGCGGCGUGCUUAACACAUGCAAGUCGAACGGAAAGGCCCUGCUUUUGUGGGGUGCUCGAGUGGCGAACGGGUGAGUAACACGUGAGUAACCUGCCCUUGACUUUGGGAUAACUUCAGGAAACUGGGGCUAAUACCGGAUAGGAGCUCCUGCUGCAUGGUGGGGGUUGGAAAGUUUCGGCGGUUGGGGAUGGACUCGCGGCUUAUCAGCUUGUUGGUGGGGUAGUGGCUUACCAAGGCUUUGACGGGUAGCCGGCCUGAGAGGGUGACCGGCCACAUUGGGACUGAGAUACGGCCCAGACUCCUACGGGAGGCAGCAGUGGGGAAUAUUGCACAAUGGGCGGAAGCCUGAUGCAGCAACGCCGCGUGCGGGAUGACGGCCUUCGGGUUGUAAACCGCUUUCGCCUGUGACGAAGCGUGAGUGACGGUAAUGGGUAAAGAAGCACCGGCUAACUACGUG
rnacentral:rRNA from 1 species